rnacentral:rRNA from 1 species
GAAAGCAUGCGACUCUUCGGAGGCGUUACACAGGUGCUGCAUGGCCGUCGUCAGCUCGUGUCGUGAGAUGUUUGGUUAAGUCCAGCAACGAGCGCAACCCCUGUUGCCAGUUACCAGCACGUGAAGGUGGGGACUCUGGCGAGACUGCCCAGAUCAACUGGGAGGAAGGUGGGGACGACGUCAGGUCAGUAUGGCCCUUAUGCCCAGGGCUGCACACGUACUACAAUGCCCAGUACAGAGGGGGCCGAAGCCGCGAGGCGGAGGAAAUCCUAAAAACUGGGCCCAGUUCGGACUGUAGGCUGCAACCCGCCUACACGAAGCCGGAAUCGCUAGUAAUGGCGCAUCAGCUACGGCGCCGUGAAUACGUUCCCGGGUCUUGUACACACCGCCCGUCACAUCAUGGAAGCCGGUCGCACCCGAAGUAUCUGAAGCCAACCGCAAGGAGGCAGGGUCCUAAGGUGAGACUGGUAACUGGGAUGAAGUCGUAACAAGGUAGCCGUAGGGGAACCUGCGGC